UAAGAGGCGACUAGGGGGUUAACCCACCAAGAAAUCCCUACCAGCAUGGAGGAACUCUGACUGUGGGGACUGACGACAAAGUGAGAAGUUAUAGAAGCUGACUUCAUCCGGAAAUCAAAGGGUCUUCUCAUAUUAAGGAAUUGUCACCCAUUAACCCUUGCAUGGAUAGGGUAAGUGUCUUGUUCCUGUGGAAAGUGAGAACUAGAUUUUUCACAAUGUUUAUCCUGGAUGGUACCAUGGUCUGGACUGGCCACUUGUGGAGGAAAGUAUUGGAUUUCUGAACAGAGAAGAGGCUACUAGUGCCCAGACAAUUCAUGGAUUCUAUCUAUUAUUGCAUUGUAACUUGUUUAUUUUUAUAGGGAAAUAGAGUAGCAGUCACAUUUUUAUUUUUCACAUUUUUUUCUACAUUGUAGAUCAUUCUAAAAGACAUAAAACCUGAAGGAGCACAUAUGAAAUAAAGUAGUAAACAAGAAAAUGUUAAGCCAGAAUAUUUUUAAUAUUUUCGAGUUGUCCCCUUUUGCUUUGAUGACUGCUUUGCACACUCUUUGCAUUCUUUCAGCUUCAUGAGGUAGUCACUUGGAAUGGUUUUCCAGCAGUCUUAAAGGGGUACUCCGCUGCUAGACAUUUAAUCCCCUAUCAAAAGGCCGCUGGGGCCCCAGUGAUCUUCCGCAGCACUUGGCAUUCUGAACAAAUGCUGGGUUCCUGUGGAGGUGGUCAUGAUGUCAAGGCCACGCCCCUUGUGUUGUCAUGCCACACCCCCUCCUUUCAUGUCUAUUAGAGGGGGCAUGUCAGGCGACAUGCCCCCUCCCCUAGAUAUGAACGGAGGGAGCGAAGCAUGGAGUACCCCUUUAAAGAAGUACCCAGAGGUGCUGAGCCCUUGUUGGCUGCUUUAUCUUCAUGCUGUCAUACAGCUUAUCCUGAACCAUCUCAAUUGUGUUAAGUUUGGAUCAUUAUGGAGGGCCAUCACUCUUCUUCUUGGUCCAACAGUCUGUCUGAUUCUGUCUGGAUAUGUAACCUAGAAAUUGUAAAGUGCUUAGGAUUAUGUUUGCAUUAUAUAUAAUAAAAUGCUGUGCAUUAUGUUGGUGCUAUAUUAAUAAAUAUUUAUUAUAAUUGAUAUUACUUUUUAAACUUUUAUUUUCCUCCAAGGGACCUUUUUGGCUUCUGCUCUUUCUCUAAAUUCCCUCAG